rnacentral:RNase_P_RNA from 13 species
AGAUGAAAAAAGGGAAGAGAAUUGUAAUGAGGUGAAAGAACCAGAUAUCAGAAAAGGAGUUGGCUAAGUAAGUUGGUUUUUGUUUUUCAAUUUUUGUUUUUAUUUUUUCCUUCUUACUGGGCCCAAGCCUUUCUCACCCUGGUUGGGGUGAUGACAUAAUAAAGUUGGCGUCUUUUUGACGUGUACUUUCAAAAAAAACAAAAAAAAA